GACGAACCUGGGUCAUAAUUUUUCGCCAAAGGGAAAUAAAUGGUACAAAUAGGUUUAGAAUAAUUGCUCCACAAAAACAGUCUACCUGAAUCUGCUACUCUGACUACAUCUUUCCGUAGGGUUUUGGAUUAGAAAAGUUACCCGGGCGUAAUUUACGGUGUUGCGUAGUGUGCAGCGGAAAGACUUACAGAGCUGUGAAGUACCUUGAUUUGUGCCCGUUGUAAGAAGGGGAGUCUGUGAAUUUUUUAUAAUCGGUUAACUUUUUAAACCCUCUAAGGUCCUUAUAAUGAAACAACCUUUCGGAUUUUAUAGCGGUUUACUUAGAUUUUUAGAUGUCCGACGUUUCGGAUACUUAACAGCUGAUCACGGGAGGACUUUAAGAUACAUUCAUGCUACUCACGUCUCGUAGAGGUAACCCCAUCAUGGAGUACAGAGGGAACAGAUGAUCCAAAGUUUAUAACGUCAGUACGAGGCAACCAAAUGAUAGAAGUUGGAAUGUAUCGUUUCAGUCAGUUAAAGACAAACAGUAUUGGUAUAAGGAAACGUUGGGUUUGCAGUAGGUGGGCUAAGGGUUGCAGAUCAGUAAUUAUCACUAUUGAAGACGAGAUAGUUAGGUAUAAAAAUGAACAUAAUCAUUAACGAUUAUGUCAAGGUUUGUGUUUUGUAUCCGAGCUGUAUGAAAUGUUAGCUAGAAGCUUUUUGAGUUUAUGAUUUUGUAUUUAUUUUCAACAUUUUGUAAUGUAAUAGUAAAACAUAUUUUGUGAUAUUAAUCCGGUUUAAUUUUUAUUUGCGGUUUUUUCGAUAUGUUAUACUAGUAGAUAGAG
rnacentral:misc_RNA from 1 species